UACGGAGGGUGCAAGCGUUGUCCGGAAUCACUGGGCGUAAAGGGCGCGUAGGUGGCCCGGUCAGUUCGUGGUGAAAGCGCGGGGCUCAACCCUGCGUCGGCCAUGAAUACUGCCGCGGCUGGAGCACUGUAGAGGCAGGCGGAAUUCCGGGUGUAGCUGUGGAAUGCGUAGAGAUCCGGAAGAACACCGGUGGCGAAGGCGGCCUGCUGGGCAGUUGCUGACACUGAGGCGCGACAGCGUGGGGAGCAAACAGG
rnacentral:rRNA from 1 species